AUAGAGUUGACUCAAGGGAAAAUGGCUUCCGCAUGGCUGUGUGGCUUCAUCUAAAGAGCACCUUAAAUUCUUGCCCUUCUGCCAAGCCCAACAGGCAAUAAGAAGACAAUGUUUGAUGGCUUGGUGAGAGAAACGGUGAUAAUUUUGCAUUACAUUGUCCAACGAAUGAAGUUGAGCCCUCUUUUGUAAGAGAAGAAAAUGAAAAAGUUGAAAAUCAAAUGUUUUGCUAUGGGCAAGACAGGAAUUCAUUAGCAGGGCUGAUAACUUCCUUAAUAUGCUGCAUCAAUCCAAGGUAGAAACCUUGCUUGCAUGGGCAUAGAGCAUUUAACAGCAGCAAAAGUAACAACAAUUGGAAGAAGAGCACACAGAAGAAGAGGCAAAGCAGCACGAACAGUAGCAACUUGUGCAUUUUCUUUUGUUGGCCUCAA